AAGAAUAAAAAGCAAGUUAACUGCACUAAGAACUGAUGGAAUUAAAAAGUAAAUUUGUUUUGUAGAUUCUUCCAAGUGAACAUAAAAAGCAAGAAUAUCUAGAUGAUGUCAAGGAGUGGUAAAAGCACCUUCCGGAAAUCAAGCGGAUUGUCAGCAAGGGCUGAAAGUCUGGGGGCUUCAAUGAAGUGUUCUAGUUGCCAGGGAGCUGACUACAAGAUGCAAAUACUAAUGACUCUGCAGUGGAUACGUUAGACUCUGUGGAUGGAGAGAAAGACCUGGAUGCCAAAGACAACAGGGGUGAGCAUUGGAGUUGACACAGAGCUUGCUGCGGCUCAAGUACUGCCUCGUUUGUUUCUGCAGAGGGAGCAGCAAGUAGCUGUGCAUGUAGAUCAAGAGCUUCGCGUCUCCACGCAGUUUUCGGUUGGUGGUGGCUGCGGGAGCAAUCUUUUGUCGCCGCAGAGCGUGGCCGCGUGGUGGGAGGGAUGAAGGAGUACACGGAAAGCAGCCGUGUUUGUUUAGUAAGUACCUGAUGAGUUGUCGAUAACCAUUGAAGCACAUCUGACAUUUGUAGUAAGGGCAGAUGACU